rnacentral:RNase_P_RNA from 1 species
UGCAUUGGUCAAUUACUGUGCAAUUACUUGCAUAGAGGAAAGUCCGCGCUAGCACAAGCUGAGAUGCUUGUAGUGUUUGUGUUGAAUUUAAUAAAUUCAAGCUUAGACGACUAGUGCCACAGAGACGAGUCUAUUAAUUUAGAGUGAAACGCGGUAAACUCCACAAGCUAGAAACCCAAAUUUUGGUAGGGGAAUCAAUUCAAGGAAAAUGAACUAAGAAUUGGAAAUUUUUUUAAAAAAAAAAAUUUAGAUAAAUGAUUGACACUCAAAAGAGAACAGAACGCGGCUUAUAGAU